rnacentral:lncRNA from 12 species
CUCUAAAGAGCUGUUGAAAAUUUUGAACAGAAAGUCUCAUGACCUGGACUGUGUUUGGGAAGAUUAAUUUUGCAAUUCUGUGUAGGGUAUACUAGAAAAAGCCAGUAAAGUAGCAAAGAGGCCCCUAUAAAGAAUCAUGCACAAGCACCAGGAUCAUCCCCUUUUCCACCAACAGAGAUGACUUCAAAUUCCUCCUCCUGCCUUCCUAUGGAAGAAGGGGCCUGAUUUAUAGAACUGGGAAGAAGGAUGGACUUAAGUUCAUUUGCCUGGUCUUGUGCGGAAUUCAAUCUGAAAUUUACUAUGUGGCUGAGUAAUAAAGAGGCCAUUACCAGGAACUCUAAUAUUUUGAAUGGACACAGAUAAAAGACAUAUUCCCUGCAUUGAGUCAUGGUGGGAAAGCCAGAGGUCAACAAACUAUUGUCUGGAGUUGCAGAUAAAUUAUAUCUUAUUGGUAUGUAGCCAUUCCCAUUCAUUUAUGUAUUCUCUAUAGGGAGCUGGGUAUUAUACAGCACAACUGAAGAGAGAGACAAAAAUAUCUGGACUUUUACAGAAAAAGUUUGCUGAACAGUUACUUUAUUGGCCUGUCAUCUUUUGCUUGGGCUUCCUACUUAUAGUCCCUGAUGGCUUUAUGAGCUGUAGUCCUGAAUCCAGCCAUCAGGAAGGAGAAAGGAUAGAGAAAGGCCUUGCCAGUCUUUUGAAAACUGCUUCCCUGUGGAAUCUUACUUACAUUUCAUUAUUAUAAAUUAGUCCUUAGUCCAUGACUAACUAUGAAGGAGACAGGGAAAUGCAGUCUUUAUGUCAGGAUGCUAGGGAACUACCUAAAAUUUGAGUUCACUUGAUAAGGAAAAAGAGGGAAGAAGUGUUCCAAAUGACUAGCCACCUCUGGCACAGGGCCAACAUCCAAUAGAAACUAGCACAUACUCUAGAUGUACCUACAGUUCCCCUGAGAAUUCUAGAAUCUGGAUAAGCAGCUAAGAAGGAAGAGAGUUCCUUAGGACCAAGCACAGAAUCUAAGAAUCAAUUAGGGUCCUUGUGGGCCAUCCCAAUCAUCUUCC